rnacentral:rRNA from 1 species
UACGUAGGGUGCAAGCGUUAAUCGGAAUUACUGGGCGUAAAGCGUGCGCAGGCGGUGAUGUAAGACAGAUGUGAAAUCCCCGGGCUUAACCUGGGAAUGGCAUUUGGGACUGCAAGGCUGGAGUGUGGCAGAGGAGACUGGAAUUCCUGGUGUAGCAGUGAAAUGCGUAGAUAUCAGGAGGAAUACCGAUGGCGAAGGCAGGUCUCUGGGCUGACACUGACGCUCAUGCACGAAAGCGUAGGGGAGCGAAACAGG